AUCCAGCUGAAGAGUCUGAAAUGGGACGAAACGAGAGUGCUGGAG
rnacentral:hammerhead_ribozyme from 1 species